rnacentral:rRNA from 1 species
UACGGUGCGGACACGUGUGCACUGCUUAUCUGGGGAUAGCUUUCGAAGGAGAUAUACCCAUAUAUGUUGAUUGGCUCUUCCGACAUGGAAACUCGGUGAUAGAGAUGGCCGCGCAGAAUUAAAUAGUGGUGGGUACGGCUCACCAAGUCUACGAUCUUUAGGGGCUGAAAGGUUGAUCCCCACAACUGGUACUUGGAAACACGGGACCAGACUCCUACGGGGAAGGCAACAGUGAGAAUAUUGGGACCAUGGGUUGAGAAGCUUGAUUCAAGCCAUUCCCGGGGUGAAAGGACGGAAUUGCCCUAUGGUUGGUAAACUUUCUUUUGGUAUUAGGGGAUAAAACCUUACCCUCCGUGAGGGUUAGCUGAAAGGGUAACUAUAACGAAUAAAGCACCGGCUUAAACUCCGUGCCACAAGCCGCGGGUAAAUAACGGAGAGGGUGCAAGCGUUAUCGGGAAUUUACUGGGGCGGUAAAAGCGCGGCGUUAAGGCGGGUCUUGGUAAAGUCGGAUGUGGAAAGCCCCGGGGCUUACUGGGAACUGAUUCGGAUACUGAUGACUAGAGUAUGGUAGAGGGUAGCGGAAUUCCGGGGUGUAGCGGU